AUUGAACGCUGGCGGCAGGCCUAACACAUGCAAGUCGAACGGUAACAGGAAACAGCUUGCUGUUUCGCUGACGAGUGGCGGACGGGUGAGUAAUGUCUGGGAAACUGCCUGAUGGAGGGGGAUAACUACUGGAAACGGUAGCUAAUACCGCAUAACGUCGCAAGACCAAAGAGGGGGACCCUCGGGCCUCUUGCCAUCGGAUGUGCCCAGAUGGGAUUAGCUUGUUGGUGGGGUAACGGCUCACCAAGGCGACGAUCCCUAGCUGGUCUGAGAGGAUGACCGGCCCCACUGGAACUGAGACACGGUCCAGGCUCCUACGGGAGGCAGCAGUGGGGAAUAUUGCACAAUGGGCGCAAGCCUGAUGCAGCCAUGCCGCGUGUAUGAAGAAGGCCUUCGGGUUGUAAAGUACUUUCAGCGGGGAGGAAGGGAGUAAAGUUAAUACCUUUGCUCAUUGACGUUACCCGCAGAAGAAGCACCGGCUAACUCCGUG
rnacentral:rRNA from 1 species